rnacentral:lncRNA from 1 species
UAAACUAGGAAAAAAAGAGAGAAAAUAUGCUAAAAUAUUAACUUGAUUUGAUAAUCGUAGUAGGAGAUGAUAGAGUCUGCAUUGUAAUCACUUUUCUUACUUUAUCCUAGCUGCACUUAUCAAUAAGUAAGCCUUCUCAAUACUGCUGACAGGUAGAUUUAAUUAAAUGCAUCUAUAAGGAGGGCAUAAUAUAAAAUGUUUUCAAAGGCCUUGCCAGUAAAUGUAAAGUGAUGGGAUUUUUUUUUCCAGAUUUCAGGGAAAUUAUGAAAAAAGAUGAAGACAUUUUCAUAUCCUUUGAUUUUAACAAAUGUUUGAAUUAUUUAAUUAGGUCACCCAUCUGAAAAUCUUAUAUAUCAUUUUGGAGUGUCCUAAUUAAGAGAAUCUAUUUACCUGCCCACAAAAAGAUACAAAACAAACAUUAGUGCCCCAAGCUCUUUGUAUUGUACUUUUUCCUCUCUCAUGUGAUGUGCUGAGAUCCAUAAAGACUCCCUGGUAACCAGACUUCACACUAUUGUUCUGCUUGUUCUAAAGCUGGAAAAAAGCCCAAGUCUCGUUUUUUUACAGGAGAUUAUUUCCUGAUUACUGAUGCUCAUAAAUCUCAGAAAACUAGGCUCUAAUAAGAACACAGAGUAUAAAUAUUUUGAUGCAGCACCUCCAGCACUUCUUCAGGAGUAUGAGGAUACUUUGUGAAAUAUCUGUCUUUGCUAUAAUUGCAUUCUCACUGUGCUUUACUGUGAUCUGAUGAAAAUUGAUAAAGCACAUUGAAAAAACAAAAUUUAAAAAUUGUCCUCCAGUUCAUUUUCCACAGUUUUAUCUUACCAGCCUCUUGAAAAGUGCAGGUACACUAGUGUGAUAUAACCAGGAAAACCAAGAUUGUGACCACACUACACUCUUGAUCAAAGCAAUGGAACAGCAGAGGAGGGAUUUUGUGAACUAUAAAAAAUGCAUUCUGCAUCUAUUUCACAAUUUUAUAAGGAAAACUGCAAUACAUUUUGCAAUAAGCACAGACUGACAUGUUUUUAGUUCAAACAGCUAGAAUAGAAUUCAGACAUCAGAACAAUCCAAAUUCCAGUUUUUCUUUCUGAUAAUUUUACCCUUAAAUUUUACCCUAAACCUGAGAGCACCACCAUCUACCAAAAAUUAAUCUCAAAAACACAAUAAAUCAGUUAAAUUAAGCA